rnacentral:rRNA from 1 species
UUACGGGAGGCAGCAGUGAGGAAUUUUGGACAAUGGGCGCAAGCCUGAUCCAGCCAUGCCGCGUGCAGGAUGAAGGCCUUCGGGUUGUAAACUGCUUUUGUACGGAGCAAAAAGGCUCUCUCUAAUACAGGGGGCUCAUGACGGUACCGUAAGAAUAAGCACCGGCUAACUACGUGCCAGCAGCCGCGGUAAUACGUAGGGUGCGAGCGUUAGUCGGAAUUACUGGGCGUAAAGCGUGCGCAGGCGGUUAUGUAAGACAGAUGUGAAAUCCCCGGGCUCAACCUGGGAACUGCAUUUGUGACUGCAUAGCUAGAGUACGGCAGAGGGGGAUGGAAUUCCGCGUGUAGCAGUGAAAUGCGUAGAUAUGCGGAGGAACACCGAUGGCGAAGGCAAUCCCCUGGGCCUGUACUGACGCUCAUGCACGAAAGCGUGGGGAGCAAACAGGAUUAGAUACCCUGGUAGG